AAAUAAACUUCAAGCACUUUAUUGUGCCUUGGUCUUGAGGGAUGAGCAGGUUAAGAUCAUGUCUUAAUUGGCUCACCCAUCGAAUUCCAGUGGCGGAAUCAAACACGGAUUGUUUUGGUGUGAUAAGUUUUUUCACGUCACCAAUCAGCUCGUAUUAUAUUCUAGCCAAUUCAAACUCCCUCUCUCUUUAAU
rnacentral:misc_RNA from 1 species